AGGCUUCUUGGUAAUUUAACUUCAUUGCAGCUGAGGAGAAAGGCUGCCUCCAUUCCAGCAUUAUUGUUUUUCAUUCCUAUUAUUACUUUUCUCCUCUCUGGAUAAAAUAAAAUAAAAUGAUGCUGCUCUUGGUCCCCCUCUUCCUCUUGGCCCUGCUCCAAGGUAAGUAUCUCCUAAAACAUUCUCCAACCCUUCCACAUCUUAUCAAAUGAACUAUCCUGAAUAUUAGAUAGGAUACUUAAUGGUAUAACAAUUCCCAUGACCCAUGUGUUUUGGAUUAAACGAGCAAUGAUAAAACUGUGCAAGAAAUAGCCUUAAAGUUCUGGCUGGGCCAACUGCUUAACUCUGGUUUUCCUUUUCUUUCCCUCCCCCCAAAUCCCUUCAGGUGUUUUCUCACAGGUCACAUUGAAGGAAUCUGGACAAGGAACAGUGAGACCAGGAGAGACCCUCCAGCUGACCUGUACAGUCACUGGGCGCUCUGUGACAAGCAGCUACUGGUGGAACUGGGUACGACAGAGCUCUG